CGUGGCGGCACUAGCGCGGUGGUCCCACCUGACCCCAUGCCGAACUCAGAAGUGAAACGCCGUAGCGCCGAUGGUAGUGUGGGGUCUCCCCAUGCGAGAGUAGGGAACUGCCAGGC
rnacentral:rRNA from 2 species